rnacentral:rRNA from 1 species
GACGAACCGUGCGAACGUUGUUCGGAAUCACUGGGCAUAAAGGGCGCGUAGGCGGCUUUUCAAGUCAGGGGUGAAAUCCGGCAGCUCAACUGUCGAAGUGCCCUUGAUACUGAGGAGCUCGAGGGAGGUAGGGGUGUGUGGAACUUCCGGUGGAGCGGUGAAAUGCGUUGAUAUCGGAAGGAACGCCGGUGGCGAAAGCGACGCACUGGACCUCUUCUGACGCUGAGGCGCGAAAGCCAGGGGAGCAAACGGG